rnacentral:rRNA from 1 species
UGGGGAAUAUUGCACAAUGGGCGCAAGCCUGAUGCAGCGAUGCCGCGUGUGUGAAGAAGGCCUGCGGGUUGUAAAGCACUUUUCAGUAGGGAAGAAAAGCUCAAGGUUAAUAACCAUGAGUCUUGACAUUAACUACAGAAGAAGCACCGGCUAACUCCGUGCCAGCAGCCGCGGUAAUACGGAGGGUGCGAGCGUUAAUCGGAAUUACUGGGCGUAAAGCGCGCGUAGGCGGCUAGGUCAGUCGGAUGUGAAAGCCCUGGGCUUAACCUGGGAACUGCAUUCGAUACUGCCUAGCUAGAGUAUGGUAGAGGGAAGCGGAAUUCCGGGUGUAGCGGUGAAAUGCGUAGAUAUCCGGAGGAACACCAGUGGCGAAGGCAGCCCCCUGGGCUAACACUGACGCUCAUGCACGAAAGCGUGGGGAGCAAACAGGAUUAGAUACCCCUGUAGUCCCUGAGCGGGCUGGCAAGGCGCAU